ensembl:lncRNA
UGUGGGCGUAUGGUGGACACCUCCCUCCCCCUGAGAACAAUGGUAAAAGAUUAAUGGAUUAAAAAGCCCAAGCUUUCUGCAUGGUUGGCAGGGAGGUGUUGCACAAAUGCACAGAGCAGCUCCUUGUGCUCGGGGGCCGUUCCUUCAUGCUCUUGCUCAGCUCUGUCUGCUGUGUCUCAAAGCCUAGAACAUGUAGCCACCCUGCGUCAGGAGACGCUGCCCACAUGCACCACCCCAGCAGAGGAAGGGAGCCGUGCCCAGGUCCGGAGACUGCUGAGCUGUGGCAUGACGACAGGGAGGGAGCCCAGCUCAAGCCGACAAAAGCAGGUGAGGCAAUCAACCUGUGGAGCAGCCAAAGGUAAAAAGAAAAGGUGAAAAACUUAGAAAGAGGGGAGGAGUAAAAACGGAACUACACACGUUUGGAACAGGACAUUUGGAAAGGACUCCUGCUGGGAAGAACAUUUUGAGGGUGCGCCCAUCCAAAGUCUCACCAUUUUCAGCUGGGGCUGAAUUUAAGGCGACAAUCCCAGGGAAGAUCUGCAGCCACGUGUCUUCUCAAACCCAAAAGGGGACCAGAGUCUGAUCAAGUCAUUCUUCUUCAAACCCUUUGGUGACUCUCCAGCUGCUCUUAGGACAAAGACUAAGUUCCUUCUCAAGGCCUUCCAGGCCCUGCAGAUCUGUCCUUACUCAUCUCUCCAUGCCUCCUGACUCACCACAUUCCGGCCACCCUGACCUUCUGCCGCUGUCUUGAGCAUGCUGCCUCCUCUGCCAAGAAUAGGCCCCUCUCCCGGCCCUUCACUGCCUAACCCCUUCAGGUCCCAACGGAAGUGUCAUUCUCUUAAGGAAGAUUUACUGCACUUCCAGACUGGAUGAGGUUCCCUAGUCAUAUGAUCUCAUGGAAACCUCUGCUUUUCUUCAUAGACAUCAUAUUGUUAUGAACUCAUUAUUUUUGUGAUUCCAUUUAAUGUCUAUCCCUUCUAGACAUUAAGUUUCAUGAGGGCAGUGACCCUGUCAUCCUUUCUCAUGGCUGACAGUCCCUGGAGCUUAGCGGGACUGGGCAUAGAAGCUUGCUUCAUAAAUAUUUGUUGGAUGGAUAAGUGGAGUAGUGGGCGGAUAGAUGCUGUUUUAGUCUAGUGGCGCCCAGUUUGGAUCUCUGCAAGAUCCCUCUGGGGAAUGUGGGUCAUUCUGAGAGACAGAUGGGUUACAAACAGCAAUACUCUGAAGAGUAGAGGACAAAUAAAAUGUAUUGACGGAAGGAAGGCCUUCUCACCACAUUCACAGGGUUUGUCAGCACUCAGGCAACUCCCUCAACAAAGGACACACAUACACUGCCAGUGGUGGAGAUGAAAUAACCCCAGGGCAAGGGCUGCCCUCCCCUGAGAGGCUGGCCCUCCCCUGUCCAAUACAGUAUAGCCACUAGCCACAUGUGGCUAUCAAGCCCUUGAAAUGUGGCCAGUGUGACCAAGGAACUGAUUUUUAAAUGUUAUUUCAUUCUGUGAUUGACAUUGAAGUUUAAAAACUAAUCCUUAAUUUGGUUAUUAGAAAAAAUUAGUAUGUUUGGAACAACUUGGCUAGGUGAAACUACUUUUUCCACUGUAAAUUUUAGGAAGUCUAAAUGUGGAUUAGGUAUUUCUUAAUGAAAAUUUGGCACCCUAUUUGAAGUGUAGCAUAUACCAAAUUUCAAAGACAGUACCCAAAAAAGGCA